UACGGAGGAUCCGAGCGUUAUCCGGAUUUAUUGGGUUUAAAGGGUGUGUAGGCGGUUUGAUAAGUUAGAGGUGAAAUGUCGGGGCUCAACCCCGAAACUGCCUCUAAUACUGUUGGACUAGAGAAUAGUUGCGGUAGGCGGAAUGUAUGGUGUAGCGGUGAAAUGCUUAGAGAUCAUACAGAACACCGGUUGCGAAGGCAGCUUACCAAACUAUAUCUGACGUUGAGGCACGAAAGCGUGGGUAGCAAACAGG
rnacentral:rRNA from 1 species